rnacentral:rRNA from 1 species
GAUGAACGCUGGCGGCGUGCCUAAUACAUGCAAGUCGAGCGAACGGACGAGAAGCUUGCUUCUCUGAUGUUAGCGGCGGACGGGUGAGUAACACGUGGAUAACCUACCUAUAAGACUGGGAUAACUUCGGGAAACCGGAGCUAAUACCGGAUAAUAUUUUGAACCGCAUGAUUCAAAAGUGAAAGACGGUCUUGCUGUCACUUAUAGAUGGAUCCGCGCUGCAUUAGCUAGUUGGUAAGGUAACGGCUUACCAAGGCAACGAUGCAUAGCCGACCUGAGAGGGUGAUCGGCCACACUGGAACUGAGACACGGUCCAGACUCCUACGGGAGGCAGCAGUAGGGAAUCUUCCGCAAUGGGCGAAAGCCUGACGGAGCAACGCCGCGUGAGUGAUGAAGGUCUUCGGAUCGUAAAACUCUGUUAUUAGGGAAGAACAUAUGUGUAAGUAACUGUGCACAUCUUGACGGCACCUAAUCAGAAAGCCACGGCUAACUACGUG